UACGUAGGUGGCAAGCGUUGUCCGGAUUUAUUGGGUUUAAAGGGUGCGUAGGCGGCUUUGUAAGUCAGUGGUGAAAUAUGGCAGCUCAACUGUCAGGGUGCCAUUGAUACUGCGGAGCUUGAGUACAGAUGAGGUAGGCGGAAUUGACGGUGUAGCGGUGAAAUGCUUAGAUAUCGGGAGGAACAUCAGUGGCGAAGGCGGCCUUCUGGUCCAGUACUGACACUCAAGUGCGAAAGCGUGGGGAGCAAACAGG
rnacentral:rRNA from 1 species